rnacentral:lncRNA from 1 species
AUUUUGAGAGUUCAAUUAUGUCCAUUUCAAGAAAAUGCAAAGCCAAUGGAAAAUUACAACUGAAAUUUUGAACAAGAAAAGCCAUCAUCAUUUAGGAACCAUGACUUUUUUUUUUUUUAAUAAGCAAAACCAUUUAAAGAGGCUGUCUUCUUCAUUAAAUGCAAUAGUAACCAGUAACUUGCUAUUUUAUAGUCAGUUCUAACUAAUCUUGAUUUUUAUAGGCACAGGCCUAGAAUAAGAAAAAAAAGACCUCUUCCAGCCCUGUACUGUCAUCACACACAUACCAAGAUACUUAAAGACAACUUUAGAAAAAAUGAAAGAUUUCAAAAUAAGUGCAUUUGGCAGCAGAGACAAAGGGAGGGAAGAAGAAGAAAAAAAAGAAGUCCUAUUUCUCAUUUGUAAUUGACCAUUUGGAGAAAGCUGUGGCCUACUCCUAAGGCUUAGUUGUAGAUGAAGGCCAAUGAGAGUUCUAGGCUAAUUUGCUCCAAUACAUACCCAAACUGUCAGACUCACAGGGCGAGAACCCCAUUGUUGAGGCAAAACAAACAGCCUAGUG